rnacentral:rRNA from 1 species
AUUGAACGCUGGCGGCAGGCCUAACACAUGCAAGUCGAGCGGAGCGGCGGAAGGGUGAGUAAUGCCUAGGAAUCUGCCUGGUAGUGGGGGAUAACGUCCGGAAACGGGCGCUAAUACCGCAUACUAUCAGAUGAGCCUAGGUCGGAUUAGUUAGUUGGUGGGGGAAAGGCCUACCAAGGCGACGAUCCGUAACUGGUCUGAGAGGAUGAUCAGUCACCCUGGAACGUAUACACGGUCCAGGCUCCUACGGGAGGCAGCAUUGUGGAAUAUUGGACAUUGUGCGAAAGCCUGAUCCAGCCAUGCCGCCUGUGUGAAGAAGGUCUUCGGAUUGUAAAGCACUUUAAGUUGGGAGGCGUUACCAACAGAAUAAGCACCGGCUAACUUCGUGCCAGCAGCCGCGGUAAUAC